ACAAGUAAUAAAAAGGAAAUAAGAGCCUCAGAUACGAUGUUCACGUCAGAUGGAAAAAUCACUCGAUCAUGUUAUAAGGUUUUGCCACGUAGGCUACGAAUUUGGUGAGAAAAAACUGUUUACGCUCUGUGUUUUGCGUUUGCCGGAAAAAUCUACAUCCCCAGAGAUCAAUUAUCUGUGGAUGAUGUGAAGGUUUACGUUCCCGGAGUGGAGAAACCCAUAGAUGUUUUCCCCAAUGCUAGCCAUCUUGCUAAAAGUUGGAGUGUCAAUCGGUUGCUCUGCUGCUACUGCUCGAGCUGAGCUGAUGACGAUGAUGACAUGGAUCUUUUUGGUGACGAGACUGAGGAGGAAAAGAAAGCUGCAGAGGAGAGGGAGACUGCUAAGAAGCCCAAAGAGAGUGGAUAGUCAUAUGUGCUCAUGGAAGUAGAGCCAUUGGAUGAUGAGACGACAUGAAGAAACUGGGAGCGGCUGUUCGCUGUGUUGAGAUGCAUGGUCUUCUAUGGGGAGCUUGUACGUCAACAAUUACCAUCUGUCUAUACUUGCAAUCGAAACGAGUGUAAGCUAUGAACUAUUUGUGUAAGGCAGUUUUAUUAUUUGUUCUUUUCUUCUGUUUAGUUGUUGCAGCAAAACUGGUACCAUUUGUUACGGUAUCAAAGAAGCUCACGAUCAUGCUAUCAUAAAUAAUUGAGCUUACAAGCCCAAAGUCUAACCGACCCAAACAAUUUCGUAUUUGU